rnacentral:miRNA from 1 species
UAGUACAGCCAAUGUUCGCUUC